GACGAACGCUGGCGGCGUUCUUAACACAUGCAAGUCGAACGGAAGUGCCCUGCUUUUGUGGGGUGCUCGAGUGGCGAACGGGUGCGUAACACGUGAGUAACCUCCCCUUUACUUUGGGAUAUCCUCAGGAAACUUUUGCUAAUCACCGUUAGGAGCUCCUGCUUCCUGGUGGUUGUUGGAAAGUUUCGUCCGUUGGGGUUGGACUCGCGGCUUCCCAGCUUGUUGUUGGGGUAGUGGCUUACCAAGGCUUUGACGGUUAGUCGGCCUGAGAGGGUGACCGGCCUCAUUGAGACUGAGAUACGGCCCAGACUUCUACGGGAGGCAGCAGUAAGGAAAAUUGAACCAUGGGCGGAAGCAUGAUGCAGGAACGCCGCGUGCGGGAUGACGGCCUUCGGGUUGUAACCCGCUUUCGAAUGUGACGAAGCGUGAGUGGCGGUAAUGGGUAGAGAAGCACAGGCUAAAUACGUG
rnacentral:rRNA from 1 species